rnacentral:rRNA from 1 species
UGAAUUUUAAAGGGCCGCGGUAUUUCUGACCGUGCGAAGGUAGCAUAAUCAUUAGUCUUUUAAUUUGAGGCUCGUAUGAAUGGUCGGACGAGGGAUAAACUGUUUUCAAAUAAAAAACUCGAACUUAACUUUUAAGUGAAAAGGCUUAAAUACUUCAAAAAGACGAUAAGACCCUAUAAAUCUUAACACUAAACUCUGUGUUAUUCUAGCUUAUUAGUGCAAAGAAACCCACAGAGAAAGUGUUCUGUUGGGGCAACAAAGAUAUAUAAACCAACUGUCUUACUAUCAAAACAAAAAUCAUUGAACCCUUUAGAUCCUUAUUAAAGAUUCAAAGAUCAAGUUACUUUAGGGAUAACAGCGUCAUUCUUUUCAAGAGUCCUCAUCGAAAAAAGAGUUUGCGACCUCGAUGUUGAAUUAGAAGAUCU